rnacentral:pre_miRNA from 1 species
AAAAAAGCAAACCUUGGGCUUCCGUGUCCAACGUUUGACUGUCCGUCUUAUAUAAAAUUUUUUUAUAAUUGGUAUUUUCAUUGUUGCAAGAUGAUAAAACAUGAUUAAUACUUUAUGCGUGACUUGUCUUUUUAAUUUUUUUUAUAUUUUUUCAAAUAAGAUGGACGGUCAAACGUUGGACACGGCUUAGGGUUUGUCUCUUU